rnacentral:rRNA from 1 species
GGAGUGGGUUGCAAAAGAAGUAGGUAGCUUAACCUUCGGGAGGGCGCUUACCACUUUGUGAUUCAUGACUGGGGUGAAGUCGUAACAAGGUAACCGUAGGGGAACCUGCGGUUGGAUCACCUCCUUACCUGAAAGAA